AGGCGGAGACACAAGGCUCCGUUCCACUGGGCACGCCAGCGGGUAGGGGUGGGGGCGGGGAGGUGCGCGCGCAGCGUGGGAGGAGGCCAACUCUCGGGGCGCUCCCUAGCCCUGGGUGGGUGGAGCGGGGGAAGCGGAGUACGUUGGACCCGGCUCCGCCCUACCCCACGGGGCCGCCUGGAGAGGUGCUGGGAGCUGGGUGGAGCUUAGAGGAAUUAAACUUUGGCCCUGCGCCUCGUCCAGCCUAGGUUCCACCCUUUUCUGGGAACUUUACACCCCGCCACUCCUGAGCACCGCACACCGGCUUCCUCCCAGUCCCUCAUCUGAGAACUCAUGAAGCCACUUGGAAUCCCUCUCUGCUUUGCCUGGCUCAUUCCAUGUCAAUUUCAGAUCUUCACUUCAGGUCAGCUCCAAGGAGGCUAUCCUUGCCCAUCUUCCUAAAAUAGAGCUCUCAAAACCUGGCUGUUUUCCUUCAGAGCACUGGCCUCCAAUUGCUCCGGUAGAUUGCAAAUGACCUGCUUUCUUUCUGUUCCCGGGCGUUUGGACCCCUGUCUUGGACCGCUGUCGGAUAGUAAAUCCCAAGUAAGGUACCUGCCGUCGGCAGAUUUGAGCUUUCUUCUUGGACACCUAAUACCCAGAGUCCUCCAGGCUCCGGUAGAUUGCAAAUGACCUGCUUUCUUUCUGUUCCCGGGCGGCAUCGGACCCGUCGGAGAGUAAAUCCCAAGUAAGGUACCUGCCGUUGGCAGAUUUGAGCUUUCUUCUUGGACACCUAAUACCCACAGUCCUCCAGGCUCCGGUAGAUUGCAAAUGACCUGCUUUCUUUCUGUUCCCGGGUGGCAUCGACCCGUCGGAGAGUAAAUCCCAAGUAAGGUACCUGCCGUUGGCAGAUUUGAGCUUUCUUCUUGGACACCUAAUACCCACAGUCCUCCAGUAAAUCCCAAGCAAGGUACCUGCCGUCAGCAGAUUUGAGCUUUCUUCUUGGACACCUAAUACCCACAGUCCUCCAGGCUCCGGUAGAUUGCAAAUGACCUGCUUUCUUUCUGUUCCCGGGCUGCGUUCGGACCCCUGUCGGAUAGUAACUCCCAAGCUCCGGUAGAUUGCAAAUGACCUGCUUUCUUUCUGUUCCCGGGCUGCGUUCGGACCCCUGUCGGAGAGUAAAUCCGAAAAAAACAAACAAAGACAUGGAUUUACUGUGCAUAUUAGCAGAUCCAUACUGGAAAAUGCAUGGAGGUUUCAUAUACACCACUUACAGGUUUCCAAAGCCACAAUUUCCUUCAUAUGUUCAAACUCUUCAGGAUGCAGAAAGGCAGUGAACUCCUCCGGAGUAGCUGUCAGGUCACCAUUGAGGUCUGCAGCUUUGAAUCUUCUCUCAUCACGUGGCAGCAUCUUUUUAAAGGUGUGAUGAUCUGAAGAAUCAUGAAACUCUGCGGGGUUUCCUAGGUUUUCAGCUCCUCAGUAGUGACAAAGCCAUACCCAUCAUUGUCGAUUCGAUCAACAAUCUUCCCUAGCCUCUCCUUGCUCUCGUCCGGGGUGAGCUCGUCGAAGUUCUUGGAGUCCUCCUUGCCCAGGAAGGCCUCGUGGUCGUACUGGAAGCUCUGGUUGUCCUCAGGGGGCCGCUCGCCCAGCUCCGAGUCGGGCCGCACCACGCGCUCUUUGCGCACCGUGGGCUUGGCCCGCAGAACCCGCGGCGCCAGCACCAGCGCCAGCAGCAGCCCCAGGGCUAACCCCAGGCGGCCACCGCGCGCCAUCGUCCCGAGGAGAGGGCGGCCGGGAGGGAGACGCUGAGCGAGCGACAACAGCGGCAGCUCGGGAAUGGGGGCUCGGAGCGCGGCGGCCAAGUUUUAUGUUAUGUAUAUUUUACAAGUAAAAAAAUUUUUUCACCUCAGCCUGA
rnacentral:lncRNA from 1 species